CCGAGGAGACGCCGGACGGCAUUCAUGUCGAGCGGCUCGGCUCGCGGAUUUCUCGCCGGCUGUGGACAUUUGACGCGGAAAUCGUCUGCGGUCAUCAGAGACCGACAUCAACCUUGGAGAUAUUCGUACUUUUCUCGUGCGUACUUUUCAAAGUGAACAAAGCGUAACGAUGUUAUUGCACAGCGCGUUCGCCUCUGGAGGCUCGUGGCCGAGAUGGGUGGCCGCGCUGCUCCGCUUGGGUCUCUUCCUGCAGCUGGCGGUCUGGGAAACGACGCAGGCCAUGCACCCAGACUGCGCCCUGGUGGUUCAGCACAUGAAAGCUCAGGAAGAAUGCAACCAGAUCCUCAAACAGGAGGAGAACAACCACUCCACCAGGACAGGUUGUCCGACAGUGUGGGACGACAUUCGGUGCUGGUACCGUGCUGAGGUGGGACAGGUGGUCAGCGUCUCGUGUGCCAACGUUUCCCAGCUGUUUGCUAAUAACCAAGGUUACAUCUACAGGAACUGCACUGAAGACGGAUGGUCCGAGCCCUACCCGCCCUACGAUGAGGCCUGUGAGUUUGCGGAGGAUGAGGAGACAAAACCAGAGACAACAUACUUCUCCAACUUCAAACAGCUGUACACUGCUGGCUACGCCACCUCCCUCAUCUCUCUUAUUUCGGCUAUUUUUGUCUUCACUGUGUUCAGGAAGUUUCGCUGCACCAGAAACUACAUCCACAUCAACCUGUUCUUCUCCUUCAUCCUGAGAGCGAGCGCUGUCUUCAUUAAAGAUGGCGUUCUUUUCUCUGAUGAGACCCUGGACCACUGCUUCAUGUCGACUACGUCCUGUAAAUCAGCUGUGGCCUUCUUCCAGUUCAGCAUCCUUGCCAACUACUUCUGGCUGCUGGUGGAGGGCAUGUACCUGCAGACGCUGCUCGCUCUCACCUUUGUCUUCCAGAAGAAAUACUUCUGGUGGUACAUACUCAUUGGCUGGGGUCUCCCAACAACAAUCAUAACGGUGUGGAUCCUCACUCGAAACUUCUACGAUAACAGGGGGUGCUGGGAUGACACAGAUGUGGCCUUCAUCUGGUGGAUCAUAAAAGCUCCAAUAACUGCAUCACUACUGGUGAACUUCAUCAUCUUCAUCAACAUGAUCCGUAUACUGGUCCAGAAGCUGAGGUCUCCCGGUGUUGGGGGCAACGAUACCAGUCACUUCAAGAGACUGGCCAAAUCCACUUUGCUUCUCAUCCCUCUGUUCGGGAUGCACUACAUGGUGUUUGCCUUCCUGCCAGAAAACACGGGAGCAGAGGCCCGACUCUUCAUAGAGCUCGGUCUGGGAUCCUUUCAGGGAUUCGUUGUGGCUCUGCUCUACUGUUUCCUGAAUGGUGAGGUGCAGGCAGAACUCAAGAAGAGGUUCUGGAAGUGGCAGACUCAGAGCUACCUGAGCUACAGUAAACGACGGCGCACGCUGUUCACUGAAAGCAGCACGGUCACUCAGAUAACUGUCCUGGACAAAUCCAGCCCCAAGGAUCAGCCGGGCUCAGAGACGUGCACCCUCACGCACACCCUCGCCCCCAACAACGUCUCCACCGUCUGAGGAACAUUUGACGGCGAAGACGUCCACGCCCUGUGUCUCAACAUGUGCUUUGUGUUUGGACGACGUCCAGAACAAAGGACUAAACCACAGAGCCUGAGGGUUGAACGUUUAAGAUGCUGAGCUGCUCAUGAAAGGAAAUAAAUGCAUGAAAAUGGAUUUUCUUCUGUUGUGGUGUCAGAUAGUGGGAGGAUGGACGACACUGAGCAGGAGAAGCAGCAGGGGAGAAUGGCCGUAGAUUUAUCGUAGCUGCGAGGUGCAUUUGUGGAGACGCUGUUGUUUUUUUGAUGAAGUUUUGUACAGAUUUGUGUUCAUAUUUGCAGAUUUUACCCUGCUUUGCCAGCCUGCAACAGGCUGCACAGGUAGGGAAUAAUGCAUGCUCGGUUCAUGCUGUCCUCUACAACCCCCCCCCGUGUGCAGAUGCUCAGACACACCAGUAGGGGGUCGUUAGUGCAGCUACAAGGUCGUGAUCCCCCACCGGUUUCCUACCCACAACUCAAAAACGACCAGUUGUGUUUGUUGGAACACACGACCGAGCCGAAGAUACUGCUGAUGGGAAUCGAACCUCGGGUACUGGCAGUGGCAGGGAAGGCUUCCCCCGCGCAACCACUUCACCCAUUUUCAAGCAUUUAUUGACUUUAAUGAGCAGUCAGUACAAAGUCAGUCUUUUUUAAAUUUUUAUAUAUAUAUAUCUAUCUCCACAGCAAAUUAAGACUAUAAACCAGGUUACCCAGUUUUAAUAUACUCUACUCUUUAGUUCUAAUCAUUGAAAUCUUCUCUCCUGUAAAACAGAAGCGUGCCGAAAAAACUUCAGAUAAAGCUUGUUCACGUUUGUUUUUCGAGUGUGGCAUGGAUUCAUUGCUGCCCCUUGUGGCCGACGGGGGAAAACACAGAUUUUCUUUUUUUU